rnacentral:rRNA from 1 species
UACGUAGGGGGCUAGCGUUGUCCGGAUUUAUUGGGCGUAAAGAGCGUGUAGGCGGCCAGGUAGGUCUGGUGUGAAAACUCGAGGCUUAACCUCGAGAUGUCAUCGGAAACCAUCUGGCUAGAGUCCGGAAGAGGAGAGUGGAAUUCCUGGUGUAGCGGUGAAAUGACGCAGAUAUCAGGAAGAACACCAAUGGCGAAAGCAGCUCUCUGGGACGGUACUGACGCUGAGACGCGAAAGCGUGGGGAGCGAACAGG